rnacentral:rRNA from 1 species
AUGUUCCUACGGGAGGCAGCAGUGAGGAAUAUUGGUCAAUGGCCGCAGGGCUGAACCAGCCAAGUCGCGUGAGGGAUGACGGUCCUAUGGAUUGUAAACCUCUUUUGUCAGGGAGCAAAGGGCGCCACGUGUGGCGUUUUGCGAGUACCUGAAGAAAAAGCAUCGGCUAACUCCGUGCCAGCAGCCGCGGUAAUACGGAGGAUGCGAGCGUUAUCCGGAUUUAUUGGGUUUAAAGGGUGCGUAGGCGGGCUGUUAAGUCAGCGGUAAAAGUCGGGG